CACACACACACACACACACAUGGAGUGUGACAAUCUCAUUUUAUUGAGCACCCUCCCAUGAAAAGAGAAAAUAAUAGCUGUAAUAGCUACUGCUAGAACUGACCUUACCCGAUCCAUUAUUCUCUAACCCUUUAAAAGUCAGUUUUACAUAUGCCAGAGAAGGGGAUGGCAGGAGAGAAAAUAGGAAACUAUCCUGAGAAUUGAUGACAAUGAUGAUGAUUUAAUAAAUUUGGCACCAGCCUGAAACCCAGUUACUGGGAUCUCUCAAAUCCAGCACCUGUCUUCAAAGCCAGUGGACAUCAAGCAUAGGAGACUGACUGAUCAAUGGUCCAAUGGUCAAGAAGGCAGGCUCAGUAGGCAUUGCCGAAUGCUGAGAGCACAAGACACUUAGACAUCCUGGGCAUUCACUACAGCAGAAGAGCACUACUGUUGUAAGCCUCAGACAUAUUCUAGGUCUCUUCUAUGGAACAUGCCAUCUUAGCAGGACCCAGGAAACAUGCCUUAUUUGCCAUAGCAUGUGUCCAAUGGAAGAACAUUCUCCCAUGAGAUGUGCAGAGUCCUCUACUGUUAGCCAUUCAGAAAACCUAGAAAGCAUGGCUUCUACCUUGGACAUUGGAACCAGCUUAUUAAUGGAGCCUGACUUGCAUAUGAUUUUGAUUGGAGAUUUCUUUUCUUUUUUUCUUUCCUUCCUUCCUUCCUUUUUUUCUUUCUCUCUCUCUCUCUCUCUCUCCCUCCCUCCCUCCCUUUUUUCUUCUUUUCUUUCCUUGGUUACAUUAAAAAUGUUCUUAAUAUGUUUUGUUACUGUGAUCUGCCUAAAGUUAUAUAGAAUAUGUAUAGCUGAGAUGGGCAGCUGCACAUAUUCUAUAAAUAAAUGAUUGCUUCUGUGUUUUUUUUUAAAUUCCAUAAAUGUUUGUCUAAAUGUUGUAGCAGGUUUAAGUUAAACAUGUCCCAACUGUAACAAAAUACUAAAUGGGAGUGUCAUGUAAAAUCAUUUUGAGUAUAGACCUAAGUAUUUUACCAGUAAAUUGGUGAGGAGAUAUUGGAUAGUGUUGUGAAUUUCUUUCCCUAGGUGCAUCAUACGUCGAAUUUUAUAUUUCUAUAUAAUGGUUGCGUAUGUAGUACACAAUUAAACAAGCAUUUUUUAAGUCACUAAAUGGUAUAUUUUAUUUUGCCUUGUCCUUGUGUAGAAUAGGAUGAUUCUCUCUCAUCAAUAAAAUCAAAAUCAAAACAAACAGCUUGGAAACAGAUACCACCUA